UUUUGAAUAUAUUUUGGUGAUAUAUCUCCUGCUCUCAAAGCUGCUUCAAGAUUGUGUUCUAAGAUGAUUGUUCCCCUCUGCUUGUGGCUGUGGUCUUGCUACUGUUCACACUGGAUUGAUUGGUGCUCUUGUUGUUCUGUUCCAUCUCCUCAUCUUGAAGACUUGAUGUUGCAUUUUCUAUUUGGAGGAUUCUUUUUGGUGUCUGUGUUUGUGGUUCCUCAGGGUUAAGACUUCUACAUUCCUUCUCCUUAUGACCUUGAAGUCUACAGUGCUUGCAAUAUUUUGGUAGCUUGGUCUUGUCUUAUUUGCUGUGGCCAUAUCUACCGUCAGUGGUUUUCCAACUGCAGUUGCUAUGGAGAAGACUGCCUCUCUAACAAAAAAAUUUGGUGGUAGUUCAGGGAAGCUUAUCCAAGCUACAACCUUUGAUGUCUCUUCCUUUGGGUUGAACCAUGGAUUCCAUAUAAAAUAUCUCAUUUGGCAAUACCUAUCAUGCACCUUUAGGUAAUAAAUAGGGGUUGACAUCAUUUUAACAUAGUCUUCUAGAAAAUUUAGUCGGAUCAGAAUAUGUCUUUCAUCAAGUAGUCCUAUAAUUGGUACUCCUUUGAUUCCACAUUGUGUUGGAAUUACCUUCCUUAGUUCUUUA